UGCUCGCUACAGCAGCUUCAUUCACUCUUCUUCUUCUACUGACUACUUGCUCGCGAUAGUUUUAGAGAAAACUGCUCUGUGGAAAACUCGGCCAGAAGCUAGCAAGUAUCAAGUGAAUCCACAACAUCACCACAAACGUCUUUUCAAGCCAGAAAUGUUCAUGGAUAACAUUAGCAGUGGAGAGAAAGGAGAGGAGGAAGACUGGAUCGGAAGAAGAGUGAAGGAGACAGAGGAGGAAAGAUUGGAGAGGAAGGAGAAGGAAAAAUGAAGGGAGUAAAAAGAGUGAAGCGAGGAGAGUGUAGAAGAGUGAGGUGGAAAGGUGAAGAGAAGGAAAGGAAGACGAGUGAAGAAAAGAGGAGAAAGAUUGGAGGAGAAGAAAAAGUUAAGAGAGUAAGAAGAGUGACACAAGGAGAGUGAAGAAGAACAGACAAAGGAGAGGAGAAGCUGGCCAAAGACAGAGCAAUCCUGAAGAAUAUACAUUCUUCUGAGAAAUAUACAGAUUAGGUUGGUAUAUGUAUAUUAUGUAGUUACCAAUCUCAUCCGCAUCUUAUUUAUUUAUUAUGUUAAGUAAUUCACAUAUGCUAUUGUCUGUUUUUUACAUUUUGCUGAUGUUCUCUUCUGAUCUUAUUGUACCAGGACCACUGAAUGGCUGUUCAGAUCAGAUAGUUCAGUCUUGUCUGUAGUGUUUCUGUAAUAUAGUUGUUUUCUCUAUCACAGAGUGCCUGUUAGACUAAAUACAUGAAGCCGGAAUUGUCCCCUUUUUUUAUUUCAUAGAUAAUAACAUUGGAUAUGUUAAUUAUUUAUUGACCGCCGAACUGGAAAUGUCCCCGGUUUUCAUUUCAGAAAUCUGGUCACCUUAGCUUAGACCUACAGGGUUAAUUUGACCUAUUUUGUUGCAGGAGGAAAAUCAUCCUGCAACAGGACGAUUUAAAUUAAUAUUGAAUAUAUAGAAUCUCGUAGGCUAUACAAUGCAGUACAAUACCUAGGGCUAUGGUUUGGGGAAAGCUCUGCAAACCAACUGACUUUAUUCCAUCAAGUAUCAUCAAGUAUUCUCACAGCUUGCUAGAGCAUUGUGAACUGCUGUAGUGCAGUGGUCUGAGCAGCAUGCUUCGGCUCCGAGCGCCACAAUCAUUUUCACACUUUGCAUGAAUGGAAACUAAUGUUGGUGUAGCCUACUGUUGUUAUUUUAUUUGUUUCCUAUUUAUGUUAUCCAUUAAAUACAACUGUCUUUGAAAUAAACGGAGAGGCUGCGGAUCCAAAUCUUUAGUUCGCUGGAUCUUAAGUCUGCACAUGUAGGGGUCAUGUUCUGCGCAUUUGUAUACAGAGAACAGGCUACUCAGGUGAAUGGUGCUUGUUUAAUACAGUUAGAUCAAAGCUGAAUCCAUGUCUGCGAGAUCACAUAAUGAUCACAGUAUUCUACGUAACCAAAUAUGUUACUAACAAACUUGUAUUCGAUCCAUAAAUAUGAAUAAAAUGGUUAAGUUACGAGCCUAGUUGGUUUAGAUAUGGAAAAAGUCAGGAACCUUCCCACUAGCCAUGAUUGCCUGAGAUAAAGUAUGAGCUGGACAUUCCGGGAGAUGAGUUUGGAUUGGUCUGCCAUGGAGCAGGCUUCGGUCUAUAACGUGGGCUGUUCAGUAUGUGUUGACAGUCCUUUCUACCGCGCCAUUUUUGAAAGAUAUAACGUUAGCCAUUGAGAACUACAAAAGUUUUGCUACUUUUCUCAACAACAUUGAUGCCCUGAAUAUAGCAGGCACUAUUGACAGAUCAGUAGGAAAAAGUGAUGGGCUACUUUCUGUACAAGCCAAGGUCAGGGUGAACCGGAGUAACUUGACACAAAGCUGGCCAAACAAGACGUAGCUCCAAACAAAAUGGAGUUAAAUGGUUCCAGUUUGCCAUGAAGCUUUCAUCCAUGUAUACGGAUAAGAGUCUAGCUACAUUUUCAAGAUACAAUAUACGUUUCUAAUUUUAUCGCAAAUACGAUUUUAUUGCAAGUUAAACAUACUGUUAGCAAGCAAACAUUAGCUUGCUGGCUCGAUAGCUAACAUUGAGUGCAUGAUCUGUGUAGUAAUAUUAUUAGAAUCAGAAAUCUAUUUGCAUUGCUAAUUUUAGCCAAAUGUUAGCUAGUUAACAUUUAACCUAGUUUGUUAGCUUUAGCUAACUGCAGAUUCACACUACAGCUAUGACUAUGUUUGUAAUGGUAGUAGUAGGAUUUGGGGUUACGCCGGUUAAUUGUUUAGCUAGCUACCGACAGUUGAAGUCGGAAGUUUACAUACACUUAGGUUGGAGUCAUUAAAACUUGUUUUUCAACCACUCCACAAAUUUCUUACAAACAAACUAUAGUUUUACUUGUGUGAAACUCAAAUUACUUGUGUCAUGCACAAAGUAGAUGUCCAAACCGACUUGCCAAAACUAAAGUUUGUUAACAAGAAAUUUGUGGACU